rnacentral:rRNA from 1 species
UACGUAGGGUGCGAGCGUUGUCCGGAAUUAUUGGGCGUAAAGAGCUUGUAGGCGGUCUGUCGCGUCUGCUGUGAAAAUCCGGGGCUCAACCCCGGACUUGCAGUGGGUACGGGCAGACUAGAGUGUGGUAGGGGGAGACUGGAAUUCCUGGUGUAGCGGUGAAAUGCGCAGAUAUCAGGAAGAACACCCGUGGCGAAGGGCGGCUCUCUGGGGACGGUACUGACGCUGAGACGCGAAAAGCGUGGGGGGAGCGAAACAGGG